rnacentral:rRNA from 1 species
AUGGAGCUGUCUAACAAAAGCAGGUACUACCACAUCUUAGGCUUCAAAAAUUUAAGAUACAUAUGGACGUGGGAGUCCACUGAUAUACUUUAUGGUUUGAAGAUGACAUGUAUGCAAUGUGUGGUCUGCACUGAUGAGACGUUGGAGGGGCAAAAUUUUGAUGUCAAGCCUCACAUAUCUGAUCAACUGGGCACCAAUAUUGAUGGCAAGUCAAUUGCAGAGGACAUAAAGUUACAGAUUGCUGAACAAUUUCGUCGAAUGAAAAAGGCAGUUGCACAUGUUCCUGGAUUAGCUAUUGUAUUGAACUGCACAAAAGACGAGGUGGUGGAUUCAGCAUCAAGAUUAAGUGGAGACCUAUCUGUUCAUCGCAUCCUUGUGCCGCUACCACUACCACAAGGGGGCGAUGAGCCCGGGCUCAGAAAUGGAUAUUUGGAUGCACGUCCCCAUCGAGUCCGCUCCAUGCCAGCGCCUGCCAAGCGAGACUCGUCAAAAACAAAUGCUCGCGUGACAUGGACAGCCAACAUUCGUGCAUCCUAG